UACGAAGGGGGCUAGCGUUGCUCGGAAUCACUGGGCGUAAAGCGCGCGUAGGCGGCUUUCUAAGUCAGGGGUGAAAUCCUGGAGCUCAACUCCAGAACUGCCUUUGAUACUGGAGAGCUUGAGUCCGGAAGAGGUGAGUGGAACUCCGAGUGUAGAGGUGAAAUUCGUAGAUAUUCGGAAGAACACCAGUGGCGAAGGCGGCUCACUGGUCCGGUACUGACGCUGAUGUGCGAAAGCGUGGGGAGCAAACAGG
rnacentral:rRNA from 1 species